CCUACGGGUGGCUGCAGUGGGGAAUAUUGGACAAUGGGCGAAAGCCUGAUCCAGCCAUGCCGCGUGUGUGAAGAAGGCCUUCGGGUUGUAAAGCACUUUCAGUGGGGAAGAAAGCCUUGGGGCUAAUACCCUCGAGGAAGGACAUCACCCACAGAAGAAGCACCGGCUAACUCCGUGCCAGCAGCCGCGGUAAUACGGAGGGAGCGAGCGUUAAUCGGAAUUACUGGGCGUAAAGCGCGCGUAGGCGGUCUGAUAAGCCGGUUGUGAAAGCCCCGGGCUCAACCUGGGAACGGCAUCCGGAACUGUCAGGCUAGAGUGCAGGAGAGGAAGGUAGAAUUCCCGGUGUAGCGGUGAAAUGCGUAGGGAUCGGGAGGAAUACCAGUGGCGAAGGCGGCCUUCUGGACUGACACUGACGCUGAGGUGCGAAAGCGUGGGUAGCAAACAGGAUUAGAUACCCCAGUAGUC
rnacentral:rRNA from 1 species